AAUAGAUACCCCGGUAGUCCACGCCGUAAACGAUGAGUGCUAAGUGUUAGGGGGUCUCCGCCCCUUAGUGCUGCAGCUAACGCAUUAAGCACUCCGCCUGGGGAGUACGGUCGCAAGACUGAAACUCAAAGGAAUUGACGGGGGCCCGCACAAGCGGUGGAGCAUGUGGUUUAAUUCGAAGCAACGCGAAGAACCUUACCAGGUCUUGACAUCCCGCUGACCGUUCUAGAGAUAGAUCUUUCCCUUCGGGGACAGCGGCGACAGGUGGUGCAUGGUUGUCGUCAGCUCGUGUCGUGAGAUGUUGGGUUAAGUCCCGCAACGAGCGCAACCCUUGAUCUUAGUUGCCAGCAUUCAGUUGGGCACUCUAAGGUGACUGCCGGUGAUAAACCGGAGGAAGGUGGGGAUGACGUCAAAUCAUCAUGCCCCUUAUGACCUGGGCUACACACGUGCUACAAUGGACGGUACAGAGGGUCGCAACCCCGCGAGGGUGAGCUAAUCCCAUAAACCGUUCUCAGUUCGGAUUGUAGG
rnacentral:rRNA from 1 species